GAUAGAAAACGCUCUAAAGUUUCCAAAACUGUCAAAAUAUUGUCUGUGAGUAUAACAGAACUGAUUUUGCAGGCCAUUUUUUUUGAAAGCUCCCUGUUCCAUUGCAUGCCUUCCCUCCAUUUAAAGGGAUAUCAACCAUAUUCCUUUUCCUAUGGCUUCCACAUGGUCUGAACAGUCUUUAGACAUAGUUUCAGCCUUUUAUUCUGAAAAAUGAGCGAGAAAGAACAAAUCGCGUCAGUGGAUGGCUGGGUGCCAGCAGAGUUUUGCAUGUGCGAGCAGCUUGGAGCAUACAUUUUCUCUAUCUCUCCUAUUGAAAAAGCUUUGGUCCUGUUGAAAUAUUAUCAAUUAUUUAUUGAAAAAACAACUUGAGGGUUGAUUAUAAAAAAAUGUUUGACAUGUUUCUACGAACUUUACGGAUACUAUUUGGAAUUUUCGUCUGCCCCGUCGUGACUGCUCGAGCCUGUGGAUUUCUGAACAUAACGCGCCAACCAAAUGGAGGUUUUUGGAUUUUAAAAUAAUCUUUAUGGAACAAAAGGAACAUUUACUGUGUAACUGGGAAUCUCGUGAGUGCAAACAUCCGAAGAUCAUCAAAGGUAAGCGAUUCAUUUUAUUGCUUUUCUGACUUUCGUGACCAAUCUACUUUGCUGCUAGAUGUGUGUAAUGUUUUGUCUGCUGAAAGAGAUGUCCUUACAUAAACGCUUGGUUUGCUUUUUUGAAAUCUGACAUGCCAGGUGGAUUAACAACAAGCUACGCUGUGUUUUGCUAUAUUGCACUUGUGCAAUAUUUGUAGUAAUUUAUUUUGAAUUCGGCGCUCUGCAAUUCAGCGGAUGUUGACAAAUUAUCCCGCUAAAGGGAUCGGUGCGUCAAGAAGUGUUAACACAGGUGGACACUUCUGAUGACGUCUGACGAGUAUACACUUACAGGGCGAGGGAGGAAGGAAAGAUUUUUAAAUGGGCCACCCUUGGCCAGAAAUUCAUCACCCGUUGAUCCCGAGAUGAUUGUUUUUUCAACUACCGCCUCAGAAGUGCAGAUAGUUGGAUAUCCAUUCCCUGAUGGCAGUGACCCGCAUAUAGACUCCUGGGAAAGCAGUCCGUCCGCAGCCAUGUCCCCAGCUAGUUACCCCGGCAACAAACCACUGGCCAGAGAAUUCACGACAUGUCAAGGGGCCACCAGAAUCUCCCUGCGUUUCAGAAACGGAGACCUCGGUUGACAACUUUGUUAGAGAAUUGAAAAUACAAGGCAAUAAGUACAUCCCAAAUGUGCAUUGGUCCUGGGAAGAUGGCUUUAGAGCAUAAGAACAAAAACAAUUCACCUGAUUUAAACGUUUGUCACCAUAAAUGUACUUUUGAGAACUGA